rnacentral:rRNA from 1 species
CAUGGCUCAGAUUGAACGCUGGCGGCAGGCCUAACACAUGCAAGUCGAGCGGCAGCACGGGUACUUGUACCUGGUGGCGAGCGGCGGACGGGUGAGUAAUGCCUAGGAAUCUGCCUAGUAGUGGGGGAUAACGUCCGGAAACGGGCGCUAAUACCGCAUACGUCCUACGGGAGAAAGUGGGGGAUCUUCGGACCUCACGCUAUUAGAUGAGCCUAGGUCGGAUUAGCUAGUUGGUGAGGUAAUGGCUCACCAAGGCGACGAUCCGUAACUGGUCUGAGAGGAUGAUCAGUCACACUGGAACUGAGACACGGUCCAGACUCCUACGGGAGGCAGCAGUGGGGAAUAUUGGACAAUGGGCGAAAGCCUGAUCCAGCCAUGCCGCGUGUGUGAAGAAGGUCUUCGGAUUGUAAAGCACUUUAAGUUGGGAGGAAGGGCAGUUACCUAAUACGUGAUUGUUUUGACGUUACCGACAGAAUAAGCACCGGCUAACUCUGUGCCAGCAGCCGCGGUAAUACAGAGGGUGCAAGCGUUAAUCGGAAUUACUGGGCGUAAAGCGCGCGUAGGUGGUUUGUUAAGUUGGAUGUGAAAGCCCCGGGCUCAACCUGGGAACUGCAUCCAAAACUGGCAAGCUAGAGUAUGGUAGAGGGUGGUGGAAUUUCCUGUGUAGCGGUGAAAUGCGUAGAUAUAGGAAGGAACACCAGUGGCGAAGGCGACCACC